AUUGAACGCUGGCGGCAGGCCUAACACAUGCAAGUCGAACGAGUGGCGGACGGGUGAGUAAUGUCUGGGCAACUGCCUGAUGGAGGGGGAUAACUACUGGAAACGGUGGCUAAUACCGCAUACCAUCAGAUGUGCCCAGGUGGGAUUAGCUAGUUGGUGGGGUAACGGCUCACCAAGGCGACGAUCCCUAGCUGGUCUGAGAGGAUGAUCAGUCACACUGGAACUGAGACACGGUCCAGACUCCUACGGUAGGCAGCAGUGGGGAAUUUUGGACAAUGGGCGAAAGCCUGAUCCAGCAAUGCCGCGUGUGUGAAGAAGGUCUUCGGAUUGUAAAGCACUUUAAGUUGGGAGGCGUUACCUACAGAAUAAGCACCGGCUAACUCCGUGCCAGCCGCCGCGGUAAUUC
rnacentral:rRNA from 1 species